rnacentral:tRNA from 1 species
GGUGCGGUGUCCCGAAUGGUUAGGGAGCUGAUUGCAAAUCAGUUUUAUGUCGGUUCGAUUCCGAUCCGCACCU